rnacentral:rRNA from 1 species
AACGAACGCUGGCGGCAUGCCUAACACAUGCAAGUCGAACGAGACCUUCGGGUCUAGUGGCGCACGGGUGCGUAACGCGUGGGAACCUGCCCUUAGGUUCGGAAUAACUCCCCGAAAGGGGUGCUAAUACCGGAUAAUGUCUUCGGACCAAAGAUUUAUCGCCUUUGGAUGGGCCCGCGUUGGAUUAGCUAGUUGGUAGGGUAAAAGCCUACCAAGGCGACGAUCCAUAGCUGGUCUGAGAGGAUGAUCAACCACACUGGGACUGAGACACGGCCCAGACUCCUACGGGAGGCAGCAGUGGGGAAUAUUGGACAAUGGGCGAAAGCCUGAUCCAGCAAGGCCGCGUGAGUGAUGAAGGCCUUAGGGUUGUAAAGCUCUUUUACCCGGGAUGAUAAUGACAGUACCGGGAGAAUAAGCGCCGGCUAACUCCGU